rnacentral:rRNA from 1 species
GACGGAGGAUGCAAGUGUUAUCCGGAAUCACUGGGCGUAAAGCGUCUGUAGGUGGUUUAAAAAGUCCACUGUUAAAAAUUGAAGCUUAACUUCAAAGAUGCCGUGGAAACUUUUAAACUUGAGUAUGAUAGGGGUAGAGGGAAUUUCCAGUGGAGCGGUGAAAUGCGUAGAUAUUGGAAAGACCACCGAAUGGCGAAGGCACUCUACUGGGCCGAUUACUGACACUGAGAGACGAAAGCUAGGGGAGCGAAUGGG